rnacentral:rRNA from 1 species
UAGCAUAUCAAUAAGCGGAGGAAAAGAAACUAACAAGGAUUCCCAUAGUAACUGCGAGUGAAGCGGGAAAAGCUCAAAUUUGAAAUCUGGCAGUCUCUUUUUUCUUCUUUGGCUGUCCGAGUUGUAAUCUAGAGAAGUGCUUACCUGCACUGGACCAUGUAUAAGUCUCCUGGAAUGGAGUGUCGCAGAGGGUGAGAAUCCCGUCUUUGACAUGGACUGCCAGUGUGUUGUGGUGUGCUCUCAAAGAGUCGAGUUGUUUGGGAAUGCAGCUCUAAAUGGGUGGUAAACUCCAUCUAAAGCUAAAUAUUGGCGAGAGACCGAUAGUGAACAAGUACCGUGAGGGAAAGAUGAAAAGGACUUUGGAAAGAGAGUUAAACAGUAUGUGAAAUUGUUGAAAGGGAAACGCUUGAAGUCAGUUAUGUUGGCUAGGGAUCAACCUGGCUAUCUAUUGCUUGGUGAAUUUCCUAGUCUGACAGGCCAACAUCAGUCUUGGCUGCUAGAAAAGAGCAGAGGGAAUGUGGCACCUUUAGGUGUGUUUAUAGCCCUUUGUCAUAUGUGGCAGUUGGGACUGAGGGAUGCAGCGUGCCGCAAGGCUGGGUUUUAGACCACGUUUGCGCUUAGGAUGUUGGCUUUUAAUGGCUUCAAUCGACCCGUCUUGAAACACGGACCAAGGAGUCUAACAUGCCUGCGAGUGUUUGGGUGGGGAAAACCCUUGUGCACAAUGAAAGUGAAAGUUGAGAUCCCUGUCAUGGGGAGCAUCGAUGCCCGGACCUGAGCUUUCAGCAAAGGAUCUGCGGUAGAGCAUGCAUGUUGGGACCCGAAAGAUGGUGAACUAUGCCUGAAUAGGGCAAAGCCAGAGGAAACUCUGGUGGAGGCUCGUAGCGAUUCUGACGUGCAAAUCGAUCGUCAAAUUUGGGUAUAUGGGCGAAAGACUAAUCGAACCAUCUAGUAGCUGGUUCCUGCGACUCC